UCUGCUGAUGGGAACCCGCACCCCUCAUAUGAGUGGGAAUACCCCAGAGCUGAUAACGUACAGGAGAUAACGAAGGAUGGAGUGUCUACUGUAAAUAUCACAAGAGCCUCGUCUAGCAAUGCCGGGGUUUAUGAAUGCCAUGCUAAAAACAUAUAUGGGGAACAAAGGAAGAAAGUCACUCUUACAGUCAAAGGAGGAACCGAUUGGAUUAAGAUUAUUAUUAUUGGAGUUAUUUUUGCUAUUGCAUUAAUAGCAGUAGUAGGAAUCCUAUUCCUGAGAAGAAGACAACGCGGAAGUGUUUUGUGAAGCAGAUCGAAAGAAUCCAGCUUAAAUGUUCAUGACGGUUAGCAACCUCUUAUGCUACAAAUUAUUUGUGAAUCUUAACUGUGCCAAAUAUGGAGCUUGUUUUCAUAACCCUAAAAUGACACAAGAAUAUACUGUACCAUUUGAAAUAGAUUAUUAUUUUAAUGCUUUUUAACAGUGUCAAGUCUUGCCAUGAAAUCCUACCCACAGAGGAACACUUAAAAGUACAGCAAUAAGUCAUUCAUUCAUUGUAAUUACAGAGUCUUAACAUGAAAGAUAAUGGUUUAUAACAGUAAGCUGCAUUAAUGUACUGCAUGUUUUGUUGAAAAAUGUUCACUAAAUUGCCUAUUCUGGAAUUGUUAAUGUCCUGUGUUUUUUUUUUUUUUAAGCAAUGAUUAUUUGUUUAAAUGCAAGACUACCAUAAAACUUCAGUUAAACACCUCUGGUGUUUAUUUCCAAUAUUUGCCAGCAGACCAGGUGCGUACUGGAGACAGGCGAUUAUUUGAAGUUUUACAGUAUGCAUCUUUAAAACACAGAAGAUACUGUACACUCGCUGCUUACUAACAAGACACUAUUUUCUGUAUCAAGUGACGAAAUAUCUUAUUAAUAAAUGUUGAUUAAUGAA